rnacentral:rRNA from 1 species
GAUGAACGCUGGCGGCGUGCCUAAUACAUGCAAGUCGAGCGAAUGGAUUAAGAGCUUGCUCUUAUGAAGUUAGCGGCGGACGGGUGAGUAACACGUGGGUAACCUGCCCAUAAGACUGGGAUAACUCCGGGAAACCGGGGCUAAUACCGGAUAACAUUUUGAACCGCAUGGUUCGAAAUUGAAAGGCGGCUUCGGCUGUCACUUAUGGAUGGACCCGCGUCGCAUUAGCUAGUUGGUGAGGUAACGGCUCACCAAGGCAACGAUGCGUAGCCGGCCUGAGAGGGUGGUCGGCCACACUGGGACUGAGACACGGCCCAGACUCCUACGGGAGGCAGCAGUAGGGAAUCUUCCGCAAUGGACGAAAGUCUGACGGAGCAACGCCGCGUGGGUGAUGAAGGCUUUCGGGUCGUAAAACUCUGUUGUUAGGGAAGAACAAGUGCUAGUUGAAUAAGCUGGCACCUUGACGGUACCUAACCAGAAAGCCACGGCUAACUACGUGCCAGCCGCCGCUGUAA